rnacentral:rRNA from 1 species
AUUGAACGCUGGCGGCAGGCCUAACACAUGCAAGUCGAGCGGGGUUUUCGGACCUAGCGGCGGACGGGUGAGUAAUGCGUAGGAAGCUGCCCGAUAGAGGGGGAUACCAGUUGGAAACGACUGUUAAUACCGCAUAAUGUCUACGGACCAAAGUGUGGGACCUUCGGGCCACACGCUAGCGGAUGCGCCUACGUGGGAUUAGCUAGUUGGUGAGGUAACGGCUCACCAAGGCGACGAUCUCUAGCUGGUUUGAGAGGAAGAUCAGCCACACUGGAAGUGAGACACGGUCGAGACUCCGACGGGAGGCAGCAGUGGGGAAUAUUGGACGAUGGGCGCGAGCCUGAUCCAGCCAUGCCGCGGGUGUGGAGAAGGCCUUCGGGUUGUAAAGCACUUUCAGCGAGGAGGAAGGGUGGUGUGUUAAUAGCACAUCAUUUUGACGUUACUCGCAGAAGAAGCACCGGCUAACUCUGUGCCAGCCGCCGCCGUAAUAC